rnacentral:rRNA from 1 species
AUUGAACGCUGGCGGCAUGCCUUACACAUGCAAGUCGAACGGCAGCACGGGUGCUUGCACCUGGUGGCGAGUGGCGAACGGGUGAGUAAUAUAUCGGAACGUACCUUAUUGUGGGGGAUAACGCUGCGAAAGCUGUGCUAAUACCGCAUAAUCACUAGGGGGAAAGCGGGGGACCGUAAGGCCUCGCGCAAUUAGAGCGGCCGAUACCUGAUUAGCUAGUUGGUGAGGUAAAGGCUCACCAAGGCAACGAUCAGUAGCUGGUCUGAGAGGACGAUCAGCCACACUGGGACUGAGACACGGCCCAGACUCCUACGGGAGGCAGCAGUGGGGAAUUUUGGACAAUGGGGGCAACCCUGAUCCAGCAAUGCCGCGUGAGUGAAGAAGGCCUUCGGGUUGUAAAGCUCUUUUGUCAGGGAAGAAACAGCAGCUCUAACACAGUAUGCGAAUGACGGUACCUGAAGAAUAAGCACCGGCUAACUACGUGCCAGCAGCCGCCGUAA